CUGUUUAAAAAAAUACAUAUAUUUUAAUUAGGUACAACUCUAUUUUCUGUAGAUGCUGGUAUUUUCUCCUUUUUAUGGAUUUGGUAUUUGUAUUUUGUUGUUUAUAUGUACUGAUUACAUUUGCAUAGAUGAAGUGCCCUGUGGUUUCUGUCACCAGCCCUCGUGGGCAGGAACGGCUCUUGUACCAUUCUCUCCUAUGGUGCUUGGGGGAACUUCUUGUGCCCCAUGAUUGUUUUAUGAUGAUAGAGAUGACACUAGAAGAUGAAGCCAAGGGAACAUUUUUAAAAUAGGCUCUGAUGCUGUUGGGUCUUCCGUGGGUGUCUCUCCAUUUCUAGAGUAAAGAACUGAGGAAUAACCACUCUAUCAUCAUGACAAACAGCCGUGGCCAGAUAGCAAAGACUAGUGAUUUUCUAAAUCUCUACAAAAUCCUGGUCCGGUUAGCUAGAGAGGAUUGUGGAAACAAAUGAACCUGGUUCACUGACUUGGCCUCUAAUCCCAGACUGAGGUUUACCCGAAGGGCGACAGACCAAGUUCCCUUCUAUCUCUGAACAUGUCUCUAGCCCGGACGCCGUCCAUCUCCAUCACCGAAUCCCACGCUUGCCCACCACCGUGGCCAGCAGUUCAUUAGAGGGGGUGCGUUUUUCCUCCUUUAGCCCGGAUGGGCUGAUACUUGUGGAGCUAACAAGGUGUGGUUCCUGGUACGGGAACAAAGUCAGUCUGAAGUCAGCUGACCAGAAUAUCUUUCCCUCCAAUGCAGACCCAACUACUUAAAUUGGAAAUGGAGGCGGACGUCUCUUAAUUGAAGUGGCCUUGUUUAGCGGACAGAUUGACGGCCGAGGCAGAGCUCACCACCACCAGGAGGAAGUUUACUGCCUCACAGGUGCCAUCUGAUGGUAGCAGCUGAACGGAACCUUAGUAGGUCUUUUGUGACAGCUUUGAGCGCCACUGAAAAUAAGCCUCGCACAAAUUAGUUUUUCUUAGUUCGAUGCUCGGGGUUGUCCAAGGUAGGUGAGGAAUGAACAAAGGCACUUCUAGAAGGUGAUGCUUGACCUCUCUUGAGAUAAGAAGCUCACACUAGUCUUUUGCUUUCGUGGGGAAUCAAAAUUUAACAUAUCAUCUAAAAUCCUCUCUGCUUUAUGGAGCUUAGUUCACAGGUUCUAGGAGAGAAGAUGAAACUCACUUAUCUUUACCCUACACAUGGAGAGAUACUGUGCAUAAUUGCUUCAACCAAACGCUCGUUUUUUGAUUUUGAUGCAUUUUAUCUGUUUACACAAGAUCGACUCCCACCAUAAACACUGAAUUCUGUUUAUAACAGAGGGCAGUUUCUGUGGGUAGCCUAAGCAGAGCGCUCCAGGCUCUUUUUUUCUCUUUUCACAGAGACUCCAGAGGACUGUGCCUUUGCACCCGCUCACCAGCUCUCUAGUAUCCCUAAAUCAUGAUUAAUUUAAAGCUCUUUCUCUCCUUGGUUAGGCCUGACACAAGCAACUGCUUUGCUGUCACAUUGAUUUUUCUGUCCUUGCAGAUUCAAAGCCAGGGUUGAGUCCUCCUAACAGGGUGAGUUCUCUGACAAGGAAGUUUUGCAAUCGAAUUUACAGCUGGAGUCAAGCUUGUCAGUGAGGGCCAGAGGGGAACUGUCGCAAUCCACUGGUUAAGUAUGCAUUUAAUAGUGUUUAUCCAAGCAAGUUUGUGAUUUCUUCACUCUCCCCAACAAAUAUGUUAUUUGUAAUACCUAUCUUCUCUAAUCUAGGUGUUUGAAAAAUGUCUCUAACGUGUGUGGGCUAGAAUGCAUUUUGUUUUUCUGUGGGUAUAUUCAUUGAACAAGGGCAGUCUUUGAGGAACUAUCAAAAACUGCUUGUCAUCUUUCCAAAUCAUCUCUCUUUGCAGUGACCAUGACUUAAUCCUGAAGGAAAACAAGUUUCUGGAUCCAGUCUUGCAUGAAGCUACUCUGCCCUUGAACUUUUCAGGUUCACUGUUGAAUUUUAUUGAUAAUGGAUUGAUGGUAAAGGAUGUUGAUUCACACAAGACCUCCGUUCCAGCCCAGUUCUUCACUCUGGUCUUCUUAUCAAAUCUGCCAUGCUACUGGCUUAACCCCAGAUGGUCCUUGUAAGGUGGCGGCUCUACUGAGCCCAGCUGGCUGUUACUGACGGUUACUACUUUGGAGCUACAAUUCUUCCAUUCGUCAUCCAUCCCAGGUGUAGAACAACAUACCUGUGUAAUUCUCUAAAGCACCGGCUGUAGCUUUCCUCAAGAUUUAUCAAGGAUUCUAGGAUUUUUGCUAUAUGUUUGUCCUUGAAGCCUGAAAACCAUGGAGCUCUCACAAAGCACACCCCGUAUAGUCCCUGGUUUUCUUCCUGUGGUGGCCACAAUUCACCGCCCAAGGAUCCUGGGGUCCAAAAUUCACUAGGCCGAAGGAGAGAAAGAUAUUAACCCCACCAAUCUCAGGUCUACAUAAAUCUAUCCUCAAACCUGCUUUUUUUCUAUGUGAUUAUCUUCUGACAUUCAAGAGCAAUUAUGUUACUGUGUUAAGACCCAAUAUCAAGAAUUUCCUGAAAUGUGGGUUUUUCAGUUUUAGGAAAUGCUAAGUAAAGGACCUUCUAUUAGGAAAAGUUCCUGCAGGAACUAACAGAACGCAACUGUGGUUAACUUAAACAGAAAAGAAGUUUGUUGGAAGGAGUGCAGGUGGCUUCCAGAAUCAGGCUUAGAAAAGAGACGGUGACCUGUCGUAAUUAGGCUAAAGGAACAGCUGAGGUCUAGCUGCAGCAGGGAUCUGGCUAAGAAGGUGCCCCUGGAACAGCCACCUCUAGACAUUUGCAUCAGCCAUCACUACCAGACCCUCUGUUCCUUUUACCUUUAGAUCUGAAACUAGUUCUGUACAGUAGACAUUUCCAUUACAAUGAAAGUGUAUCUUUAGGGGCGCCUGGGUGGCUCAGUCAUCAAGCGUCUGCCUUUGGCUCAGGGCGUGAUCCCAGCAUUCCAGGA